GCAUAUCAAUAAGCGGAGGAAAAGAAACCAACAGGGAUUGCCCUAGUAACGGCGAGUGAAGCGGCAACAGCUCAAAUUUGAAAUCUGGCCUCGGCCCGAGUUGUAAUUUGCAGAGGAAGCUUUGGGCGCGGCGCCUUCCGAGUCCCCUGGAACGGGGCGCCAUAGAGGGUGAGAGCCCCGUAUGGUUGGACGCCUAGCCUGUGUAAAGCUCCUUCGACGAGUCGAGUAGUUUGGGAAUGCUGCUCAAAAUGGGAGGUAAAUUUCUUCUAAAGCUAAAUACCGGCCAGAGACCGAUAGCGCACAAGUAGAGUGAUCGAAAGAUGAAAAGCACUUUGAAAAGAGGGUUAAAUAGCACGUGAAAUUGUUGAAAGGGAAGCGCUUGUGACCAGACUUGCGCCGGGCUGAUCAUCCGGUGUUCUCACCGGUGCACUCUGCCCGGCUCAGGCCAGCAUCGGUUCUCGCGCGGGGACAAAGGUCCCGGGAAUGUAGCUCCUCCGGGAGUGUUAUAGCCCGGGGCGCAAUGCCCGCGCGGGGACCGAGGCUCGCGCUCUGCAAGGAUG
rnacentral:rRNA from 1 species